rfam:Schistosoma rodhaini strain Burundi genome assembly, scaffold: SROB_scaffold0003196
AUCCAGCUGACGAGUCUCAAAUAGGACGAAACACGCUUUUAACUGGAU